rnacentral:rRNA from 1 species
AUUGAACGCUGGCGGCAGGCCUAACACAUGCAAGUCGAACGAGUGGCGGACGGGUGAGUAAUGUCUGGGAAACUGCCUGAUGGAGGGGGAUAACUACUGGAAACGGUAGCUAAUACCGCAUACCCUCAGAUGUUCCCCGAUGGGAUUAGCCAGUUGGCGGGGUAACGGCUAACCAAGGCGACGAUCCCUAGCUGGUCUGAGAGGAUGACCAGCCACACGGGAACUGAGACACGGUCCAUACUCCUACGGGAGGCAGCAGUGGGGAAUAUUGCACAAUGGGCGCAAGCCUGAUGCAGCCAUGCCGCGUGUAUGAAGAAGGCCUUCGGGUUGUAAAGUACUUUCAGCGAGGAGGCGUUACCCGCAGAAGAAGCACCGGCUAACUCCGUGCCAGCAGCCGCGGUAAUUC